UCGAGUAUUCCACUGCCCUAACCGAAACAAUGGUAUGUAAAUAAGUAAGAAUGAAGUGUGUGAGUGUUAAUGGAUUUAAGAACUUUUUACCUUGGGGGCUAAAAUAACCUGGCUGUUGAUAAUUCCUGGCAGCUGGAUAAGACCGAGAUCCAACCCCGAAUUACCAACACCCAGGAUGGAUGACUAUCGAGGCAUACCAGUAAUUUAUUGUAAAUUACAAAAACUGACACAACAAAAAAAUUGCCACUGUAUAGAGAAAAUUGAUAGGCUCAACCCUGUACACACAUAUGCAUAUGCACAUGCGUGUGAAGAUUCCAGCUUAUAUUAUAUAAAUGAGUAACUUGUAAUCUACUGUAGAUAUUAAACUAAAAAGGGACAGUUAAAACUCUUCAAUGCAAAGUUGUAAGGAAAAUAGGAGAGGAAAAUUAAAUAUGGAAAAGGAUGAGGCUUGAUGGUUAGGGUUUUAAAGGUUGGAGGCACAGAUGAGGAAACGACUGAACGAAAUAAUCCUGUAUGUGUAACGAGUUUCAUGGGAGUGGACAGGAAUCUGAAGGUGAAGAAAUUUUAUAUAUAGGGAUAGAUAUCAUUGAUAGAAGAAGAAGCCCAGGACAUAUUGCUGGGGAAAGAAGAGUAUAAACAUUUCAAGACAGUGUACAGAUCAAUCACAAGGACCUCCUUGGGAAGCCAAAGAUAAAACAAAACAAUUCAUUAGAUCUUUAAGCUUAUUUUGAAGCUCCCUAGUGAGUCUCAUGUACACAACACAUUCUUAAUCAAAAUGCGGUGAGUAAGGAAGAAAACUAAGUUUAGCCACAUUAAAUGGGAGAAGGUAUGAUAGAUCUGAUGAAGGUUGGAAAAGCAGCAUUACGGAAAUCCAGGCGACACAGGGCUUCCAGGAAAUGUUCUGAUCAAGGACAAUCUCAUAACUGCCAUCAUCACAGUUAUAUAAAUGCUUCUUCAUUUUUAAUUAUUAAACUUUUUGUUUUCUAUGCUUUGCAAGACUGGGAAAACACCAUUCGACCUUAAACGAUGAUGGCCUCUAGACCUUGCACCUUAAUCUAGCAUAUUGAACCAGCUUGUAUGUCCUCAAGUGACUUCCAGAUGCAGAGCAAAAUAUAUUUGAUAUGUUCAGGCUACAGAUAAAUUUUAUUAAAAAAAAAAAGAAAGUUUUUUAUUACAGCAAUAAGGUUAACUUAGGUAGAUUAACAAUAGGUUAAUCUCUUAACCUAACCCCACAUACAAGCAUAUAUUAUAACCUAGAAACUUGGUCUGUGAGAAGCCAUAUACUUUAUGCAACCAUCAACUUGUAACUUCAGGAGUUUACAUUACAGUCAGAUAAUAUGUAUUGUAGUGACUCACCACAUAAUGAGCACCACUUCGGUCUUUUGGCGAUAAAAAGGUGCCAGUUCUCGUCAGUUAGAUGUGUUUUAGAAAUCUGGCAGUGUGAAUGAACACUGAACUAAUAUAAAGCAACUUAACUUACAGUUGAUCAGGGAUGUCUACAUUCUUCACUCUGCAUUCCUCAAAAAAUAUCUGACAAAAUGACUUAAUAUUGUGAAAAUUUAAUCUUUUUUUUUUUCAACAAGGGUGAUAUUUUUUUAAAUAACAACCAAAGAGAAAUACUUCAUUUUCAUUGUGAUAUAAUUUCAAGUAAACAGUUUAUGGUACAUAGUGGUAAUUUCUUAUUAUCCUAACUAAUAAAGACUAUAACAUAAGAGAAAAGAAAACAUUCGACUUUUAAUUAUAUAACGGAUUUUCAUAAAAAUAAACCUUUGUGUAUACAAUUUAAUCUAAAAUUUUCCUAGACAUAUGCACAUUGUGAUGAAAUUUACAUGAGGUAAAAUUUUUCCAGUAUCACCUCUAGAACUGAAAUCGAUAUUUAAAAAAACACAAAAGAAAAAACAAUCACAGCUAGGAAAUAUAGAGAUUCUUUCUUACAUACGAUAAAUAAAUAAAUCGGCAUUUUUUUUUCUCUUGUUAACAAAAUAAGGCAAUUUCGUCUUUCUAAAUAAAAAACACUUCUUUUUCCGAUUCGUCUCAUAAUUCACUCUUUGGUAUAACUAUUCAAAUUUCCUAUGGCCCAGUAGGGAAAUCCCCUCUAGCCGUAUCAAUUUAUACAACUUGUGAAUAUUUAAUAAAACAAAAAUGGAAUGUCAAUGUAUGGAAUUUUCUUAUAAAUUAACUGAUCCAAUAUUGACAUUACAAUAUUUUCCAAAAAAUAAACAUAAAUAUUAAUCUUGGAAUAUUUCAUAAUUGAGAUUAUUCCAUAAUUUCUAUUCAAAAGAAACUCAUUAAAAAACAAAGAUAACAAAAUAAAUCAUCGCUGUAAUAUGUUUAACAUAUUAAUUUCAUUAGCUGACAUUAUUAUUCUUGUGUAAAUUCAUGUUUAAAAUAAAUUAUGGGUAGGUCAUAAAAUUAUAAAUAUUUCCUUAAGUGAACUCAAUGGUAAGCCUGCAUAUGAUUAUAAAAAAACUAAAUAGAGAAUAAAUUGAAUUUGUUGUAUAGUUGACUGAAUGAUACU